UCUCUGUUAGUAUAUCGGUUAGUACACGCGCCUGUCAUGUUUUCACGACGUCCGCGCGAAAGCGGGGUUCGACUCCCCGACAGAGAG